UAGUCCACGCCGUAAACGAUGGAUACUAGCUGUCCGGGGCCUUGUGUCCUGGGCGGCCAAGCGAAAGUGAUAAGUAUCCCACCUGGGGAGUACGUUCGCAAGAAUGAAACUCAAAAGAAUUGACGGGGGCCCGCACAAGCGGUGGAGCAUGUGGUUUAAUUCGAUGAUACGCGAGGAACCUUACCAGGGCUUAAAUGCAUAAUGACAGGGGCAGAGACGCCCUUUUCUUCGGACAUUUUGCAAGGUGCUGCAUGGUUGUCGUCAGCUCGUGCCGUGAGGUGUCAGGUUAAGUCCUAUAACGAGCGCAACCCCUGCCGUUAGUUGCCAGCAAGUAAAGUUGGGGACUCUAACGGGACUGCCGGUGCAAACCGCGAGGAAGUGGGGACACGUCAAAUCAUCACGGGCCCUUACGUCCUGGGGCCACACACGUGCUACAAUGGCCGGUACAGAGAGCAGCCACGCCGCAAGGCGGAGUGAAUCUACAAAACCGGGUCACAGUUCGGGAUCGGGGGUCUGGCAACCCGACCCCGU
rnacentral:rRNA from 1 species